AAGUCGUAACAAGGUUUCCGUAGGUGAACCUGCGGAAGGAUCAUUAACAGAUUCUGCUAGUCAGUUAUCUUAUCACGUGUGAACUGUAACUUCGCCUUGGUAGCCAAGGGCCGGAACGCCGAGGGGUGGUACCCGUACCUCUCUCUCGUAAGACCUGCUCUAGCUACCAUCAUUUUACCCUCUGAAAUUGAUUUCCGAGUACCCUACAAAAGACUAGAAAACUUUUAGCAACGGAUCUCUAGGCUCUU
rnacentral:misc_RNA from 1 species